rnacentral:rRNA from 1 species
AGUAACACGUGAGCAACCUGGCUCUAAGAGGGGGACGAACAGUUGAACGACUGCUAAUACCGCAUAACGUAUCGGGAUGGCAUCUUCCUGAUACCAAAGAUUUUAUCGCUUAGAGAUGGGCUCGCGUCUGAUUAGAUAGUUGGCGGGGUAACGGCCCACCAAGUCGACGAUCAGUAGCCGGACUGAGAGGUUGAACGGCCACAUUGGGACUGAGACACGGCCCAGACUCCUACGGGAGGCAGCAUG